CUGACUCUCUCCUGUUUUUACAGAAAUGAGGAUCAUCACACACGUGUCUCUGUCAAUCACUGAAUCAACUGAGUUUGAUUUUAGUGAAGCGUUCAGGAGGUUUUUGUUCAGCUGCUCUAUUAGUUUCUAUCACUGUGGUGGACGUUUGGCAGCGGCACCAAACUGGAUGUUGGCAGCAUCACUCGUCCUAAAGUGAGCGUCCUGCCGCCCUCCAGUGCAGAGAUCUCCUCAAAGAAGACAGCGACACUGGUGUGUGUGGCCAGCAAGGGCUUCCCGUCAGACUGGAGCCUGAGCUGGAAGGUGGACGGGAGCAGCAGGUCUCAGGAGAGCAGCGCUGGGCUCCUGGAGAAGGACGGUCUGUACAGCUGGAGCAGCAGCCUGACUCUCUCUGAGCAGGAGUGGAUGGAGAGCGUCUCAGUGAGCUGUGAGGCCACACGGAGCGGCCAGCCUGCGCUCACUGGACACGUGACGAGACAGCAGUGUUCAGAGUAGAUCUGCUGCUCUUCUCACUCAUGUCUCACAUGGAGACUAACAGCACAUGAGCGACUCCUUCAUUCUCCACAUCCAGCUUCAGUCGCUCGCAUCUGCAUCUGCUCUGCUUUGUGUGCUUC